rnacentral:lncRNA from 1 species
CUCAAAUGAGACUGGCGGUUGGCCUGAACAGGAGGGGAAGGUGGGUGUCAGAGAGACCUCUGGAUAAGGAAACUGUAGAGAUGAAGCUAGAGAGAAAUCUAGCACUGCUCAGAGACAGUGAUAGUUUUCAUUGGAGGAACAAAAAGAAAUUGUCACUCCGGCUUUGGAAGCCUCUUCCACAUCUCUCCAGCGAACCUGAGAAGCCUGGCUAAUCAUUUCUGUAUGUAUCUAUAAAAAAAGAGAGCCCUUUUCAACUGGGUUUCACCAAGCCUUGCCUGCAAAAUCUAUAACAGUAUAUUCUGGUGGUCACUGGCAGCAGUUAAUAAAAUAAUGUUUUGAGUGGAGAAGUGGAGCUUUGGCAGUUUUCAGAGUCAUUUGAGACCUCCCUUUCUCCUAUCGUCUGCAUGAAGAAGAGGGUGGAGUUUCCCCACAUAAUCACAAGCAUCCAGCAGGUGGCACUUCAAGAGAAAACGGCCCAUGGUGUGAGAUCUGGCAGCAUUUGGAAAGGAGCCUACAUCUGGCUUUUUCCAAGGAACUACAGAAAGCAUUUAUGGGCUGGGCAGAUGUAUGAGAAGUGCAAUCUGUGGAUACUUUUGUGGUGAUGAUCCGUUGGGCCCUUCGGCAUGACGUGACUGCGCCGUGCGAGGCAAGGAGCUGCACAGACACCUGAGAAGGCCUCGCCCCAGGCGGCAGGGAGGACUCAGCAGUAGCAUGCCUUCCCUCUGGAUUUCAUGCAUGUUUGUUCAUCUCAAGUCCCUUCAAAUACAUUUAGACUGCGAGCUCUUCCAGCCAAAGCCUGGUCUUUAUUUUUGUGCGCUGCGCAGCACAUGGCUGGCCCUGAACACAUCCUACAGCAUGAAAUCACAUGAUGCAGUUCAGGACAGUGUGUCAGCUGGUAGACGCAACCACGCCAGCAUCUUUGCACAGUCUCCAAACAUAAUUCACUUACUGGGAACAGAGAUGGAAGUCCUGAUACCGAUCGGCUGUGAUUGCAGAAGGCAUGUGCCCCGGGAAGCCAGCCUGAGGAGCAGACUUUAG